GAUGAACGCUGGCGGCGUGCCUAACACAUGCAAGUCGAACGGAGAUUACGGACGGAAGUUUUCGGAUGGACGACUGUAAUUCUUAGUGGCGGACGGGUUAGUAACGCGUGGGCAACCUGCCCUAUACAGGGGGAUAGCAGCUGGAAACGGCUGGUAAGACCGCAUAAGUUGGUUAAAUCGCAUGUUUUCAUCGGGAUAUGAGCAAUCAGGUAUAGGAUGGGCCCGCGUCCGAUUAGCCAGUUGGUAGGGUAAAAGCCUACCAAAGCGACGAUCGAUAGCCGGACUGAGAGGACGAACGGCUACAUUGGGACUGAGACACGGCCCAGACUCCUACGGGAGGCAGCAGUGGGGGAUAUUGCACAAUGGAGGAAAGUCUGAUGCAGCGAUGCCGCGUGAGUGAAGAAGUAUUUAGGUAUGUAAAGCUCUAUCAGCAGGGAAGAUGAUGACGGUACCUGGAUAAGAAGCCCCGGCUAACUACGUG
rnacentral:rRNA from 1 species